rnacentral:tRNA from 1 species
GAGGGUAUAGCUCAGUGGUAGAGUGUGUGCUUAGCACACACAAGGUCCUGGGUUCAAUCCCCAGUCCCUCCA